UGGCUCUGUGGCGCAAUGGAUAGC
rnacentral:piRNA from 2 species